UGUGUAGGCGGACUUCUAAGUACCUUGUGAAAUCCCACGGCUUAACCGUGGAACUGCUGGGUAUACUGAGAGUCUUGAGCAACCUAGGGGCUACCGGAACAAAUGGUGGAGCGGUGAAAUGCGUAGAUAUCAUUUGGAACGCCAAUGGUGAAAACAGGUAGCUGGGGGUUUGCUGACGCUGAGACACGAAAGCCAGGGGAGCGAACGGGAUUAGAUACCCCGGUAGUCCUGGCCGUAAACGAUGUCCACUAGAUCGCAGUCCCUCUGACGGAAUUGCGGUCGUAGCAAAAGUGCUAAGUGGACCGCCUGGGAAGUACGGUCGCAAGGCUAAA
rnacentral:rRNA from 1 species